AGAUUGAACGCUGGCGGCAUGCCUUACACAUGCAAGUCGAACGGCAGCACGGGAGCAAUCCUGGUGGCGAGUGGCGAACGGGUGAGUAAUACAUCGGAACGUGCCCAGUAGUGGGGGGAUAGCCCGGCGAAAGCCGGAUUAAUACCGCAUACGACCUAUGGGUGAAAGCGGGGGAUCGCAAGACCUUGCGCUAUUGGAGCGGCCGAUGUCAGAUUAGCUAGUUGGUGGGGUAAAAGCCUACCAAAGGCGACGAUCUGUAGCUGGUCUGAGAGGACGACCAGCCACACUGGGACUGAGACACGGCCCAGACUCCUACGGGAGGCAGCAGUGGGGAAUUUUGGACAAUGGGCGCAAGCCUGAUCCAGCCAUGCCGCGUGCGGGAGAAGGCCUCGGUUGUAACGCUUUGUCGAGGUAAGAACGCUUCGAGACUAAUGCCCCGAGUAAUACGGACGGUAACCUGAACGAAGUAACGCACCGGACUAACC
rnacentral:rRNA from 1 species